rnacentral:rRNA from 1 species
UACGAGGGGGGCAAGCGUUGUUCGGAAUUAUUGGGCGUAAAGGGAGUGUAGGCGGCUUGUUAAGUCUUCUGUGAAAUCUACGGGCUCAGCCUGUAACGUGCAGAGGAAACUGGCGAGCUUGAGUGUCGGAGAGGAUAGGGGAAUACCCGGUGUAGAGGUGAAAUUCGUAGAGAUCGGGUGGAACACCAGUGGCGAAGGCGCCUAUCUGGCUGACAACUGACGCUGAGACUCGAAAGCAUGGGGAGCAAACAGG